rnacentral:rRNA from 1 species
UAGGGAAUAUUAGUAAUGGGCGAAAGCCUGAACUAGCAACGCCGCGUGUGCGAAGAAGGCCUUCGGGUUGUAAAGCACUUUUUGAGAGGAUGAGGAAGGACGGUACUCUCAGAAUAAGUCUCGGCUAACUACGUGCCAGCAGCCGCGGUAACACGUAGGAGGCAAACGUUAUCCGGAUUUACUGGGCGUAAAGCGCGUGUAGGUGGUUUGGUAAGUAGGGCGUGAAAGCUCCUGGCUCAACUGGGAGAGGACGUUCUAAACUGCCAAGCUUGAGGAUGGUAGAGGGAGGUGGAAUUCCGGGUGUAGCGGUGGAAUGCGCAGAUAUCCGGAGACACACCAGUGGCGAAGGCGGCCUCCUGGACCACUCCUGACACUCAGACGCGAAAGCUAGGGUAGCA